GGGUUAAGUCCCGCAACGAGCGCAACCCUUAUCCUUUGUUGCCAGCGGUCCGGCCGGGAACUCAAAGGAGACUGCCAGUGAUAAACUGGAGGAAGGUGGGGAUGACGUCAAGUCAUCAUGGCCCUUACGACCAGGGCUACACACGUGCUACAAUGGCGCAUACAAAGAGAAGCGACCUCGCGAGAGCAAGCGGACCUCAUAAAGUGCGUCGUAGUCCGGAUUGGAGUCUGCAACUCGACUCCAUGAAGUCGGAAUCGCUAGUAAUCGUGGAUCAGAAUGCCACGGUGAAUACGUUCCCGGGCCUUGUACACACCGCCCGUCACACCAUGGGAGUGGGUUGCAAAAGAAGUAGGUAGCUUAACCUUCGGGAGGGCGCUUACCACUUUGUGAUUCAUGACUGGGGUGAAGUCGUAACAAGGUAACCGUAGGGGAACCUGCGGUUGGAUCACCUCCUUACCUUAAAGAAGC
rnacentral:rRNA from 1 species